GUCUCUGUGGCGCAAUUGGUCAGCGCGUUCGGUUUUUAACCGAAAGGUUGCUGGUUCGAGACCACCCAAAGACU